rnacentral:rRNA from 1 species
UACGGGGGGGGCAGGCGUUGUUCGGAAUUACUGGGCGUAAAGGGCUCGUAGGCGGCCAACUAAGUCAGACGUGAAAUCCCUCGGCUUAACCGGGGAACUGCGUCUGAUACUGGAUGGCUUGAGUUUGGGAGAGGGAUGCGGAAUUCCAGGUGUAGCGGUGAAAUGCGUAGAUAUCUGGAGGAACACCGGUGGCGAAGGCGGCAUCCUGGACCAACACUGACACUGAGGAGCGAAAGCCAGGGAAGCAAACGGG